UACGGAGGGUGCAAGCGUUAUCCGGAUUUACUGGGCUUAAAGGGUGUGUAGGCGGACUUUUAAGUCAGCGGUGAAAUCUCCGGGCUCAACCCGGAAACUGCCAUUGAUACUAUUGGUCUUGAAUGUUGUUGAGGUGGGCGGAACGGGUCAUGUAGCGGUGAAAUGCAUAGAUAUGACCCAGAACACCGAUUGCGAAGGCAGCCCACUAAGCAAUGAUUGACGCUGAGGCACGAAAGCGUGGGGAUCAAACAGG
rnacentral:rRNA from 1 species